AUCCUGCCUCCGUGCCCCGCUGAUUGCGAUCAGCAGCAUGCCCAGGCAGCCAGGAUCUUCAAGGCUGCGGCGCGGCUUGACCGCGUUGAUCACACCAGUUCGCUCCGGCAUCCCUGCGCGAACGGCCAUCGGCAACGGUGGUGAUGC
rfam:Pseudomonas tuomuerensis strain JCM 14085 PT85_5, whole genome shotgun sequence.